rfam:Alligator mississippiensis ScZkoYb_55, whole genome shotgun sequence.
GUGCUCACUUUGGCAGCUCAUAUACUAAAAUUGGAAUGAUACAGAUUAACAUAGCCCCUGCACGAGAAUGACACGCAAAUUUGUUAAGUGUUCCAUAUAAAA